rnacentral:rRNA from 1 species
GACGAACGCUGGCGGCGUGCUUAACACAUGCAAGUCGAACGGUAAGGCCCUGCUUUUGUGGGGUGCUCGAGUGGCGAACGGGUGAGUAACACGUGAGUAACCUGCCCUUGACUUUGGGAUAACUUCAGGAAACUGGGGCUAAUACCGGAUAGGAGCUCCUGCUGCAUGGUGGGGGUUGGAAAGUUUCGGCGGUUGGGGAUGGACUCGCGGCUUAUCAGCUUGUUGGUGGGGUAGUGGCUUACCAAGGCUUUGACGGGUAGCCGGCCUGAGAGGGUGACCGGCCGCAUUGGGACAGAGAUACGGCCAAGACUGCUACGGGGGGCAGCAGUGGGGAAUAUUGCACAAUGGGCGGAAGCCGUAUGCAGCAACGCCGCGUGCGGGAUGACGGCCUUCGGGUUGUAACCCGCUUUCGCCUGUGACGAAGCGUGAGUGACGGUAAUGGGUAAAGAAGCACCGGCUAACUACGUG